rnacentral:rRNA from 1 species
UACGAAGGGGGCUAGCGUUGUUCGGAAUUACUGGGCGUAAAGCGCACGUAGGCGGAUACUUAAGUUAGGGGUGAAAUCCCGGGGCUCAACCCCGGAACUGCCUUUGAUACUGGGGAUCUCGAGUCCGGGAGAGGUGAGUGGAACUGCGAGUGUAGAGGUGAAAUUCGUAGAUAUUCGCAAGAACACCAGUGGCGAAGGCGGCUCACUGGCCCGGAUCUGACGCUGAGGCGCGAAAGCGUGGGGAGCAAACAGG